rnacentral:rRNA from 1 species
AUGAACGCUAGCGACAGGCCUAACACAUGCAAGUCAGGGGCAGCACAAGGAGCAAUCUGAGGUGGCGACCGGCGCACGGGUGAGUAACACGUAUGCAACCUGCCUGUAAGCGGGGAAUAACCCGUUGAAAGACGGACUAAUACCGCAUAAUACUAAAUUACUGCAUGGUAAUUUAUUUAAACAUUUAUGGCUUACAGAUGGGCAUGCGCAUGAUUAGCUAGUUGGAGAGGUAACGGCUCCCCAAGGCAACGAUCAUUAGGGGUUCUGAGAGGAAGGUCCCCCACACUGGUACUGAGACACGGACCAGACUCCUACGGGAGGCAGCAGUGAGGAAUAUUGGUCAAUGGACGAGAGUCUGAACCAGCCAAGUCGCGUGCAGGAAGAAUGUCCUAUGGAUUGUAAACUGCUUUUGCAGGGAAAUAAAGUGCAUCACGUGUGAUGUUUUGUAUGUACUCUGCGAAUAAGGAUCGGCUAACUCCGUGCCAGCAGCAGC